rnacentral:misc_RNA from 1 species
GAUGAAGAACGUAGCGAAAUGCGAUAAGUAAUGCGAAUUGCAGAAUUCCAGUGAGUCAUCGAAUCUUUGAACGCACAUUGCGCCCUUUGGUAUUCCGAAGGGCAUGCCUGUUCGAGCGUCAUUAUCACCCCUCAAGCCCUCGGCUUGGUGUUGGAAGGUUUGGUGGAGGCCCCCUCGGGGGCUCCUGCCCCUCCCAAAGACAAUGACGGCGGCCUCGUUGGACCCCCGGUACACUGAGUUCUUCACGGGACACGUAUCGGACACAUGGGUUUACGGGACACGGUCUGCCUCCCCUCAGGGAGAAUCUUUCUAAGGUUGACCUCGGAUCAGGUAGGGAUACCCGCUGAACUUAAGCAUAUCAAUAAGCGGAGG